ACGCUCGACACCUACGGGGGCAGCAGUGGGGAAUAUUGCACAAUGGGGGAAACCCUGAUGUAGCGACGCCGCGUGGAGGAAGAAGGUCUUCGGAUUGUAAACUCCUGUUGUUGGGGAAAAAGAGGAUGGUACCCAACAAGGAAGUGACGGCUAACUACGUGCCAGCAGCCGCGGUAAUCUGGAGCGGGGCUAGGGCAAGGC
rnacentral:rRNA from 1 species